rnacentral:rRNA from 1 species
UGGGGAAUCUUGCGCAAUGGGCGAAAGCCUGACGCAGCGACGCCGCGUGGGGGAGGAAGCAUUUCGGUGUGUAAACCCCUGUCAGGAGGGAAGAACGGUCCGGGGAGGAAAUGCCCUUGGAUUUGACGGUACCUCCAGAGGAAGCACCGGCUAACUCUGUGCCAGCAGCCGCGGUAAUACAGAGGGUGCGAGCGUUGUUCGGAAUUACUGGGCGUAAAGCGCGCGUAGGGCGGGCUUCUUAAGUCUUACCGUGAAAUGCCGGGGCUCAACCCCGCGCACGUCGGGGGAUACUGGGGAGCUGGAGACAAGUAGAGGCGAGCGGAAUUCCGGGUGUAGCGGUGGAAUGCGUAGAGAUCCGGAAGAACACCAGAGGCGAAGGCGGCUCGCUGGGCUUGGUCUGACGCUGAGGCGCGAAAGCGUGGGGAGCGAACAGGAUUAGAUACCCUGGUAGUCCACGCCGUAAACGAUGGAUGCUAGACGCUGGGCGGAUCGACCCGGUCAGUGUCGCAGCUAACGCGCUAA